rnacentral:rRNA from 1 species
UACGACUACAUAUCAGGCAUAUCAAUAAGCGGAGGAAAAGAAAACCUAACUAGGAAUUCCCCUCAGUAACGGCGAGUGAAGCGGGAAGAGCUCAAAUUUGAAAUCUUCAAGGUUUUACCUUGACGAAUUGUAGUUUAAAGAAGUGUUUUCUGUUGAGUGUUUCGGUAAAAGUUCUUUGGAAUAGGACAUCAUAGAGGGUGAGAAUCCCGUAUUUGACCAUUAUUUCAGCUGUGUGAUACACUUUCAAAGAGUCGGAUUGUUUGGGAAUGCAGUCCAAAAUGGGUGGUAAAUUUCAUCUAAAGCUAAAUAUUGGCGAGAGACCGAUAGCGAACAAGUACCGUGAGGGAAAGAUGAAAAGAACUUUGAAAAGAGAGUUAAACAGUACGUGAAAUUGUCAAAAGGGAAGCGUUUGACACCAGUGUUGUUUUCUCGAAAAUCAAUUAAAAAUGGACUUGAUUUUGUGUUGUAUUGACCUUUAUAAGCUUUCUGCACUUUUUUCUAUGUCUUUUUUAAUGCACUUUUCGUUUAACAAGUCAACAUCAAUUUCUUUUGUUGUAAAAGGGUCAUUGGAAGGUGGCUUUCACUUCGGUGAAAGUGUUUAUAGCCUUUGACUUCUGCAAUCGGAGAGAUUGAGGUCUGCAGCGUAGAUCCUUCGGGGUUAGAUACAUUUGUGCUAAGUUAUAGUUUUUCAUAGACAACAUGUUGACUAUGAUUAAUCAUGUAGCUUACUCGCUUAUGCUACUUUUACCUACGCUUAGGAUGUUGACGCGCGUGUGUGCGUG